CCUACGGGAGGCAGCAGUGGGGAAUAUUGGGCAAUGGGCGCAAGCCUGACCCAGCAACGCCGCGUGAAGGAAGAAGGCUUUCGGGUUGUAAACUUCUUUUAACAGGGAAGAACAGAAGACAGUACCUCUUGAAUAAGCUACGGCUAACUACGUGCCAGCAGCCGCGGUAAUACGGAGGGGGCAAGCGUUGUCCGGAGUUACUGGGUGUAAAGGGCGUGCAGCCGGGAAGACAAGUCAGAUGUGAAAUCCCGCGGCUCAACCGCGGAACUGCAUUUGAAACUGUUUAGCUUGAGUACCUGAGAGGUAAUCGGAAUUCCAUGUGUAGCGGUGAAAUGCGUAGAUAUAAGGAAGAACACCAGUGGCGAAGGCGGCUGACUGGACGGAAACUGACGGUGAGGCGCGAAAGCGUGGGGAGCAAACAGGAUUAGAUACCCGGGUAGUC
rnacentral:rRNA from 1 species